rnacentral:rRNA from 1 species
CAAACCUUGGUGUUUAUAGCGUAUUGGAACCACUCCGACCCAUCUCGAACUCGGUUGUGAAACUUUACAGCGGCGAGUAUACUGCGGGGGAAGCCCUUUGGGAAAUUAGCACGAUGCCAGG